rnacentral:rRNA from 1 species
AAGUCGAGGGGCAUCGGGAUUGAAGCUUGCUUCAAUUGCCGGCGACCGGCGCACGGGUGCGUAACGCGUAUGUAACCUACCUAUAACAGGGGCAUAACACUGAGAAAUUGGUACUAAUUCCCCAUAAUAUUCGGAGAGGCAUCUCUCCGGGUUGAAAACUCCGGUGGUUAUAGAUGGACAUGCGUUGUAUUAGCUAGUUGGUGAGGUAACGGCUCACCAAGGCAACGAUACAUAGGGGGACUGAGAGGUUAACCCCCCACACUGGUACUGAGACACGGACCAGACUCCUACGGGAGGCAGCAGUGAGGAAUAUUGGUCAAUGGACGCAAGUCUGAACCAGCCAUGCCGCGUGCAGGAAGACGGCUCUAUGAGUUGUAAACUGCUUUUGUACGAGGGUAAACUCACCUACGUGUAGGUGACUGAAAGUAUCGUACGAAUAAGGAUCGGCUAACUCCGUGCCAGCAGCCGCGGUAAUACGGAGGAUUCAAGCGUUAUCCGGAUUUAUUGGGUUUAAAGGGUGCGUAGGCGGUUUGAUAAGUUAGAGGUGAAAUCCCGGGGCUUAACUCCGGAACUGCCUCUAAUACUGUUAGACUAGAGAGUAGUUGCGGUAGGCGGAAUGUAUGGUGUAGCGGUGAAAUGCUUAGAGACUCAUACAGAACACCGAUUGCGA